UUUCUCUCACGCUACAAAAGCCCUCCUGAUCACUGGAUUGGUCUCCAGAAGGAUUUGGGUCAGCCCUGGAGAUGGGUCAAUGGCAGCAUUUUCACAGGAGAGUUCUUCAGGCUUUGUGAGGAAAAGGGAAGAAGGUGUGCAUAUUUGAACCAUAAUGCCAUUGCUAGUUCAAGCUGCACAAGAGAAGAACCCUGGAUCUGUAGCAAAGAGAUGACUUUGCCUGGAUAGCGGAAGCAAAGCCCUGAUUCAUGCUCUGCUUUUCCAGAAGAAUAGAGAGAAAAGAAAUCAAUGGGAAUGACAAAAGGACUGGACUUGGAACCUGAAAGGAAAUAAUGAUGCAAAAUCUAAUAAACAGAGACGUGAAUGAACCAAGGGAAGAGAUACAAGCUUAUCUCCAGUCUGCGGGGACAUGAAAAAGACUGCAAUAUACCACAUGACUGAAGAUGUUCAAGCUGUCAAGCUUUAUUGAAACAGUUAGACAAAGAUUUUAUGCAGAAACAAAUGUAUAUAUGUACAGUUAAUAUUAGAAAGGAGUGAAAUAUAAAGUAAAAUGCUGUAUGAGAUAUGACAAAUUUGUUGUUGUUUAUUCAUUCAGUUGCUUCCGACUCUUCGUGACUUCAUGGACCAGCCCACACCAGAGCUCCCUGUUGGU